AGGAGGAACAGCCCCAGUGGCGGGGCAGCUCUGGAAACCUGGAUUCAGCUCCGGCAGGAACUCAGUCUGCAGGGCCUGGAGGCUCCGGGGCGGG
rfam:Canis lupus familiaris chromosome 4, whole genome shotgun sequence.